CCCAGUGCAACUACUGAGUAUCUGAGUCAAAAUUUUCCACAUAGACUUUACCAAAUUAAAGGUAAAAUCAUUACGGAAAUCAAGUGCAACGAGUAUAAGUCGCAAUUGUUUGAGAUAAGCUUUUGCUUCGAGAGGAAUGGAGAUUUUUCUAAUUGUUGUACCUAUGAAAAAUAUUAUCUCACUUAUGACUGCAAAGAUAGGAUCAGCUUCCCGGUUGAAAGUAUAACUCAUGAUGAACUAUAAGGUACGAAAAGAUGACCCUAAUUUUUAUUUUUAAAGUGAAUUUGAAAUUUUAAUUAUUUGGAUUUGGUUGGGUAGGAAUAAACAAAAGGAAAAUGGAAAAUAUGACUAGUUUCCUAACUCUGUGUUGAAGUAAAUGGAAAACCCAAGUUUAUGGUUGAUUUGAUGACAUGCUCGAAUAAUUUCUAGUCAAUCAGGUAACUGUUUUUUUUUUAAUGUUUUAGAGUGCAUACUUUCUUGUGAUAUAAAAGAAACGGGUAAUUAUCGAGAAAUAUUUGCUUCUUGUAAUAUGAAGUUCAUUCUACUGCGAGUAAUCUAUUAAAUAUAGACAGUUUUUUCUGCCUUUUCCAGAUGAUUAAUUAGGGAAGAGAAGCAAGUAAAUAAUGCUUCUGCUUAUGCUCAUCUUGGCCAUUAUUAACAAUCAACUUUACCCUUUUGGGAAUUUUAUCUAAAAUGUGUUUUGCUUAUCUCUUUCCUUUCACAAUUUUUAUGUACACUUUAACAAUUUUCAUUUUAAUAUUAGUAUUAGCCAUUCUUUAAUGGUCACCGUAGAUCAUUAAAGAGAUAAUGCUGAAAUGUUAUGUCAAUUGUUUUUGCAAGAGGGACAUCAUAGGAUGUUACUCUGUUCACAGGAAAAAUUACGAACAUCUCUUUAAUAAUGUUAUCUUUGUUCCUAACAAAACAAGCUUGCAAUAAACUGAAAGAAAACCGGCUUAUUAUUGGAUUGGGAUUAUUAGAAAGGAGAGAGGAUGGUAAGUUUUCGGGGAAUAUUACGGAUGGGAUUUCAUUUGAGUAUAUUGUUGCAGGAUUGAGUUUUACUUGUGGAUUGACAAGAAGCAAUUUUUCAGUUUUUGUAGGGGUCCUGGUUGGCAUAAUCAGUCGCUCUUCUGCGCUUGAGCUUUCAGAGGCCAUGUGUGGAGACUCCUUCAUGUUUUUGUAGAGGUCAUAUUCGCAGGUCUUGUGAUGUUUUUCAUUCUUCUUCUAUCUAGACUUCAUCAAAACAUUUCCUUGACGCUCUCUCUAUCAAAUCAGUUCUUGAAAGUUCUGAAAGACCAUAUUUUCAGAAUUUAUUCCUACUUAUGAAGUAGGACAUUGGAGCAAUAAAAUUUUCCACAAUUACAAAAGCUUGUUUACUAGAAUAAAC
rnacentral:lncRNA from 1 species